rnacentral:rRNA from 1 species
GAUGAACGCUGGCGGCGUGCCUAAUACAUGCAAGUCGAGCGAACAGACGAGGAGCUUGCUCCUCUGACGUUAGCGGCGGACGGGUGAGUAACACGUGGAUAACCUACCUAUAAGACUGGGAUAACUUCGGGAAACCGGAGCUAAUACCGGAUAAUAUAUUGAACCGCAUGGUUCAAUAGUGAAAGACGGUUUUGCUGUCACUUAUAGAUGGAUCCGCGCCGCAUUAGCUAGUUGGUAAGGUAACGGCUUACCAAGGCAACGAUGCGUAGCCGACCUGAGAGGAUGAUCGGCCACACUGGAACUGAGACACGGUCCAGACUCCGACGGGAGGCAGAAGGGGGGAAUAUUGGGAAAGGGGAGAAAGCCUGAACGAGCAAUGCCGCGGGAGUGAAGAAGGCCUUCGGGUUGUAAAGCCCUUUUAUUGGGAAAGAAAAGAAGCAGAUUAAUACCCCGCUGUUCUGACGGUACCCAAAGAAAAAGCACCGGCUAACUACGUG